GGAGCCCUGCAGAGUACGUGAUGAGUCAAUCAAACGCUUGAACCGUAUUUCUUACCCGGGUGCUCGGGUCUCAUAUGGGUCGCGUGCACGCCUUCGCCUUUAGGGGCAUGAAGGUAGCCAAAACGGCCCGAGUAGAGCGCCCACCUGUUUUUUACGGGUUCAAGUAAGAAUUCUCACACGGCUCAGGCGGGGUCUUC
rnacentral:other from 1 species